CUGCCCGGUGACUAUGUUUAACGGCCGCGGUAUCCUAACCGUGCAAAGGUAGCAUAAUAACUUGCCUAUUAAUUGUAGGCUAGAAUGAAAGGAAAAACGAAAUAAAAUCUGUCUCAACUAUAUAAAUAUAAAUUAUUAUUUAACUGAAGACUGUUAAAUAAAAUUGAAGGACAAGAAGACCCUAUAGAGCUUAAUUUUAACCUAGAAUAAUUCUAAUACAAUUUGGUUGGGGCGACCAAGGAAAUGUUCAUCCUUUACAUAAAAGAUCUAUAAAUCAUCUAAAUGACCCUAAUAAGAUCAUGAGAAAGCUACCUUAGGGAUAACAGGCUAAUCUCAUUAAAGAGUCCAUAUCAAUAAUGAGGGUUGGCACCUCGAUGUUGGCUUAGGAUAUCUAUAAGGCGCAAAAGUCCUAUAAAGAUGGUUUGUUCAACCAAUAAUUUCCU
rnacentral:rRNA from 1 species